rnacentral:rRNA from 1 species
AUUGAACGCUGGCGGCAGGCCUAACACAUGCAAGUCGAGCGAGCGGCGGACGGGUGAGUAAUGUCUGGGAAACUGCCUGAUGGAGGGGGAUAACUACUGGAAACGGUAGCUAAUACCGCAUACCAUCAGAUGUGCCCAGAUGGGAUUAGCUAGUAGGUGUGGUAACGGCCUACCAAGCCGACGAUCUCUAGCUGGACUGAGAGGAUGACCAGCCACACCGGGACUGGGACACGGCCCGGACGCCUACGGGAGGCAGCAGUGGGGAAUAUUGCGCAAUGGGGGCAACCCUGACGCAGCCAUGCCGCGUGAGUGAUGACGGCCUUCGGGUUGUAAAGUUUGUUAAUCGGGACGACGGUACCGGAAUAGAAAGCCACGGCUAACUACGUGCCAGCCGCCGCGGUAAUAC